GUGCUCACUUCAGCAGCACAUACACUAAAAUUAGAACAAUACAGAGAAGACUAGCAUGGCCCUGGCACAAGGAUGACAUGGAAAUGCACGAAGUGUUCCAUAUUUAA
ensembl:snRNA U6 U6 spliceosomal RNA